rnacentral:rRNA from 1 species
UGCUCCCUGAAGUCAGCGGCGGACGGGUGAGUAACACGUGGGUAACCUGCCUGUAAGACUGGGAUAACUCCGGGAAACCGGGGCUAAUACCGGAUAGUUUUUUUCCUCGCAUGAGGAAAAGUGGAAAGGUGGCUUUUAGCUACCACUUACAGAUGGACCCGCGGCGCAUUAGCUAGUUGGUGAGGUAACGGCUCACCAAGGCGACGAUGCGUAGCCGACCUGAGAGGGUGAUCGGCCACACUGGGACUGAGACACGGCCCAAACUCCUACGGGAGGCAGCAGUAGGGAAUCUUCCGCAAUGGACGAAAGUCUGACGGAGCAACGCCGCGUGAGUGAUGAAGGUUUUCGGAUCGUAAAGCUCUGUUGUUAGGGAAGAACAAGUGCCGUUCGAAUAGGGCGGCACCUUGACGGUACCUAACCAGAAAGCCACGGCUAACUACGUGCCAGCAGCCGCGGUAAUACGUAGGUGGCAAGCGUUGUCCGGAAUUAUUGGGCGUAAAGCGCGCGCAGGCGGUCUCUUAAGUCUGAUGUGAAAGCCCACGGCUCAACCGUGGAGGGUCAUUGGAAACUGGGGGACUUGAGUACAGAAGAGGAAAGUGGAAUUCCACGUGUAGCGGUGAAA